rnacentral:rRNA from 1 species
UACGGGGGGGGCAAGCGUUGUUCGGAAUUACUGGGCGUAAAGGGCUUGUAGGUGGCCAACUAAGUCAGACGUGAAAUCCCUCGGCUUAACCGGGGAAUGGCGUCUGAUACUGGAUGGCUUGAAUCCGGGAGAGGGAUGCGGAAUUCCAGGUGUAGCGGUGAAAUGCGUAGAUAUCUGGAGGAGCACCGGUGGCGAAGGCGGCAUCCUGGACCGGCAUUGACGCUGAGGAGCGAAAGCCAGGGGAGCAAACGGG